UGAGGAAUAUUGGUCAAUGGUCGCAAGACUGAACCAGCCAAGUAGCGUGAGGGAAGACUGCCCUAUGGGUUGUAAACCUCUUUUAUCUGGGGAUAAAGUGAGCCACGUGUGGCUUAUUGCAGGUACCAGAAGAAUAAGGACCGGCUAAUUCCGUGCCAGCAGCCGCGGUAAUACGGAAGGUCCAGGCGUUAUCCGGAUUUAUUGGGUUUAAAGGGGGCGUAGGCCGCUUGGUAAGCGGGCAGUGAAAUGCAGAGGCUCAACCUCUGACUUGCUGUUCGAACUGUCAGGCUUGAGUACGCACGAGGUAGGCGGAAUUUGGGGUGUAGCGGUGAAAUGCGUAGAUAUCACAAAGAACUCCAAUUGCGAAGGCAGCUUACCGGAGCGCAACUGACGCUGAAGCUCGAAAGUGCGGGUAUCGAACA
rnacentral:rRNA from 1 species